rnacentral:rRNA from 1 species
UACUCCGAUUGAAUGGCUUAGUGAGGUCUUGGGAUUGGCUUCGGGGAGCCGGCAACGGCAUCCUGUCGCUGAGAACUUGAUCAAACUUGGUCAUUUAGAGGAAGUAAAAGUCGUAACAAGGUUUCCGUAGGUGAACCUGCGGAAGGAUCAUUAUCGAGUUUUGACUGGGUUGUAGCUGGCCUUCCGAGGCAUGUGCACGCCCUGCUCAUCCACUCUACACCUGUGCACUUACUGUGGGUUUUACGGGUCGUGAAAUGGGCUCGUUCAUUCGGGCUUGUUGAGCGCACUUGUUGCCUGCGUUUAUCACAAACUCCAUAAAGUAUUAGAAUGUGUAUUGCGAUGUAACGCAUCUAUAUACAACUUUCAGCAACGGAUCUCUUGGCUCUCGCAUCGAUGAAGAACGCAGCGAAAUGCGAUAAGUAAUGUGAAUUGCAGAAUUCAGUGAAUCAUCGAAUCUUUGAACGCACCUUGCGCUCCUUGGUAUUCCGAGGAGCAUGCCUGUUUGAGUGUCAUGAAAUCUUCAAUCUACAAGCUUCUUAUGGGAGUUGGUAGGCUUGGACUUGGAGGCUUGUCGGUCCUUUACAGGUCGGCUCCUCUCAAAUGCAUUAGCUUGGUUCCUUGCGGAUCGGCUUGUCGGUGUGAUAAUGUCUACGCCGCGACCGUGAAGCGUGUUUGGGCGAGCUUCUAACCGUCUCGUUACGGAGACAACUUUAUGACCUCUGACCUCAAAUCAGGUAGGACUACCCGCUGAACUUAAGCAU